AGGGGUGUAGUUCAAUUUGGUAGAACGGCGGUCUCCAAAACCGGAAGUUGGGAGUUCAAGUCUCUUCACCCCUG
rnacentral:tRNA from 1 species